CAUGAAGGAUGCCCAAGAAGGCUCCACCAAACAUCGUCUGGUGAACAGAAUUUCAAUCCGCAAUUGGACGAGCAAUUCAUCAACAACGACCAUUCGGUUCGUCCAUUUCCAGUCUUCCGCCCAGCCGAGAGCCUUUUUUCACCAAAUACUCUUGGAUUCUUGAAGAUAUCGUGGCCAUAAACCAACCCCUGCCAGCCAACUGGCAGGAGAAACACGACCAGAUGCUGUUUCAGCGCGAUAUACUCGAAGUAAGACGAAAACAAUUAAAGCUCCAGCCUUUUUGGAGCAUUACUCGGUCGUCCAGCUGACUCAUAAAACGGCCAAGAAGAAGAGGAAAUUGAGCAGCGAUCUCCGCCCGUGUUGGAAACUUCGCGAAGCCGUCGGCAGUGCUGACGAGGACAGUGACGGAAUUAGUGACGAAACGGGCGACUUUUCGCUUUUCUGACGGAUCAAGCCACCGAUCGUGUUUCCCCGUGCCGUUUCCGGAGUACGUGUUUCAUGUGGAAGAAGCUGAAGUACAUCAAGAACUAUUGAAUUGUAGUUUGCCCGUGUCUCUGUGGAUUAACAUUUUUCAACUGCCGUUGAAGAUUUGAAGUUGGUCCGUGUCGUUGGUCCUAAAUAAG